UCCUGGUUCCUAGGUCGAUGCUCAACCACUGAGCCACACCGGCUGGGCGAUAGCACCUUUUUUGUUGUUGUUCUGUACCUUGGGACCUUCUUUAUAAACGAGUGGAUCUUCAGAAAAGGAUUCUUCUACCCGGACCGGGUUAUUGUCAGGUGUAAACAGUGUUCCAUCUGAGCGAGGUCCCUAUAACCAGGAAGCCAGUACGUUUUGGCCGUGACCGUUGCCUGGCUGGGUCGUGUGCCCUCCCCCAGGCCCGUGAAGAGAUCUGGAAUUGGAAUGUACGUGUCCUGAGAAUAAGUACGGUCUUGGUGGCAUGUGGAUCCUUCUUGGCUCAGAGAAAAGGGAUAGGUGGGUGGGUAGUGGUGGUGGUGAACUAACAAUUAUCGAGUUCCCUAAUGUGUCAAACACCGACUGGGUGCUUUCCAUGAUAAUAAUUAUAGCCACUGACUGUUGAGUGCUUCCUGGUGCUGGUACUUGUGCUAAGUACUUGCAAUAUCUUACUUAAUCGUCACAACAAUCCCAUGAGGAACAUGGGAUUAUUAUCUCCAUUUUCCCCCAUGAGAUUAAAGCUCAGAGGCUCCAUCGGUAGUAGGUCUAUAGAGGAGACAGCCCCAGAAAUCAGAUUUCAAAGUCCAGGUUCUUAACGACUGGGUGAUUUUGAUACUACAGAGGAGAAAGGGAGUCUCAGAGAUGUUCAGCAACUUGCCCAGAGUCACACAGCUAAUAAGCAGAAGAGUCAGGAUUCGAAUCCAGAACUGUGUAAAGCAAAGCUAUGCUCCUUCCCCGUCCCCUGCGUCCUUAACCUACAGAAGAGCCUUGGACACAGGCUGGCCCUGUGAGAUAGGGUUACAUCCCCAGAUUUUAGGGAACUUACCUAAACCCCUGACUGCUGACCUAUCUGUCCAGGCUGAGAUCGGCCCUAUUGGUAUCAGCAGAUGAGCAGGUAACAUGGUGAUCCCAGGAUUAUCAUCAUUUGCCUUCCUGCGUGUUCGAGCCUGGGCUCAACCAUACGGCUGUGAGGCCUGGGACUCGCACUUCCGUUAGGGCACCUGAAGCCACCAGUCACUGGACUGCUCAUGGGUCUCUUCUGUUCUCGCUGCCCUUUUCAAGUUCAGAUCCUUGCCGUCGCUCUCCUCACCUGCUGUAGAAGCCACCUCCUGGGUGUCCUGAAUGGAGCUGGCUUACUGUGGAGCCUGCUGGGACCCCAACCAUGGUGGUGGCCAGGAAAGUGGUUAAGCAGGAGGACUGGGGACACUGGCUGGGGGUCGAGGCACCCAGUGAGGGGCCACUGUGGCUGGAGCUCAGAGAACGGGUGGCGGUGGAGGUGCGUUUGACAUGAGGUUGGAGAUCGGACUUUAUCCUUCACGUCUGGAGGCCAGUGAUCCCAGGGAGAAGGGGGAGGUCUCAUUUGUAUAUUUCAAAGAUCACUUGAGCCCUAGCCGCUUUGGCUCCGUGGAUAGAGCAUCGGCCUGCGGACCAAAGGGUCCUGGGUUCGAUUCCGGUCAAGGGCAUGUGCUUUGG